UUGCAUUUUAUUUUUCAGAUAUAGAUGAAGUCAGAAAGAUGAAGAAUUGGAUGUGCCCCCACUGUAUUGAAGAGAAAGGCAUCAAACCUUAUUGGAUAUGUAACAGUUCUCUAUGUUUGAAGAAGCGAAAGAUGACACCAACUGGAAUUGCUAUUUAUCAUGCUCGUGAAAAAGGGUAUAAAUCAGUGGCACACUUGCUGAUGGAUGAGUUGAAAAGUGCUGGAAAAUGGUUCGAAGCCUAGAAGAAUUUCAAAGAAAGGCAACAUUU